UACGUAGGGUGCGAGCGUUAAUCGGAAUUACUGGGCGUAAAGCGUGCGCAGGCGGUUCGUUGUGUCCGUCGUGAAAGCCCCCGGCUCAACCGGGGAGUGGGGCUGGAAACUGGGCUUCUUGAGGGCGAUAGAGGAGUGUGGAAUUCCUGGUGUAGCGGUGAAAUGCGUAGAGAUCAGGAGGAACACCCGUGGCGAAGGCGGCACUCUGGGUCGGCCCUGACGCUGAGGCGCGAAAGCGUGGGGAGCGAACGGG
rnacentral:rRNA from 1 species